rnacentral:rRNA from 1 species
AUUGAACGCUGGCGGCAUGCCUUACACAUGCAAGUCGAACGGUAACGGGUCUUCGGAUGCUGACGAGUGGCGAACGGGUGAGUAAUACAUCGGAACGUGCCUAGUAGUGGGGGAUAACUACUCGAAAGAGUGGCUAAUACCGCAUGAGAUCUACGGAUGAAAGCAGGGGAUCGCAAGACCUUGUGCUACUAGAGCGGCCGAUGGCAGAUUAGGUAGUUGGUGGGAUAAAAGCUUACCAAGCCGACGAUCUGUAGCUGGUCUGAGAGGACGAUCAGCCACACUGGAACUGAGACACGGCCCAGACUCCUACGGGAGGCAGAAGUGGGGAAUUUUGGACAAUGGGCGCAAGCCUGAUCCAGCAAUGCCGCGUGCAGGAUGAAGGCCUUCGGGUUGUAAACUGCUUUUGUACGGAACGAAAAGCCCCGGGUUAAUACCCUGGGGUCAUGACGGUACCGUAAGAAUAAGCACCGGCUAACUACGUGCCAGCAGCCGCCGUAA